CCUUUUCCUACCUGUCGCGACGGUUUAAAAAGUGAAUUCCAACCAAUCACGGAAAGUUAUUUAACUUCAAAGUUACUAUGGUGCAUUUUCUUACCAAACAAAGUAAAAAUACAAAAAUAUGAAACUUAAAUCUAUCAAAAUGUCGAGAACUAAUGUGAAGUCGAUGGAAAGUGUUCAAUUCAAGUGAUAUGUUGCAUUGUUGUCGUCAUUUUUAUACACUUUUUGUAUUAUUUUUAUGGAUGUUAUAACCAAUAAUCCUGUGGUCAAAAUGGACGAAGUUAACAACGUUCGUCAAAACAAUUUAAUACCGCAGUAUUCAACCUGCAGUUUCGAUUCUAAUGGAGAUGAACAAAGCAAAUGUGAUAAUGCAUCCCCAUAUCAACGUAUAUGCUUUAUUGGCGAUGUUGCUUUUGAUAAUGACUUACGAACAGUUGCUGAACAUUAUAACUUGCCAAUUAUUACAUCUGAAACAGGUCGAGAUUUUGCUCAAGACAAUAAUUGCAGUACAAUAUUUGUGAUAGAUAAGUUCCAAGGCACGACUUUUUCCAAUUUAUACAAAGCAAAACAGCCUAUAUUAGGGCCACCUGCCUUGAAGCAGUUAGUUAUGAGAAAUGAACCUCUUCCAAAUAAUAAGACUAGGCCUUUAUAUAACCUUGCAAUGUCUGGAGUUGUUGUUUGCUUCACAGGUUUUAGAAAUAAGGAUGAUUUGGCAAAAUUAGUACCUUUGAUACAUCACAUGGGUGGUUCAAUUAGGAAGGAAAUGUCUGCCAAAGUAACUCAUUUAAUAGCCUACACUUGUGGAGGACAGAAGUAUCACUAUGCGGCUACGUUUAAAGUACCUGUUCUGAAUCAGAGUUGGGUAUUAGAUGCGUGGGAAGAAAGAUAUGACCUCGAUUUUUCUGCUACAAAUGAUAAUUUUUUGUAUCAACACAAACUGAAACCUUUCCAAGGCGCUCAUAUAAGAUUUGAAGGCUUUCCGGAGGAUGAGGAAGAGCACAUGAGAGAAGUGUUAAUUUCUAAUGGGGGUACAGUUAGUGAGAGCAAUGAUCCAAAUUGCACUCAUGUUGUGAUGGAUUACAGAGAAGGCUUCAGUAUGGACGCAGGUGCACAGUUAACCUCACCCGCUAUCGAACCCCCCACCCUUCCUAACCUAAAUGACACUCCUCCCGUUGCCAAAGACACGGUCGACGACCUGGAGUCGUUCAGUCGAUUCCAGAACAUCUACAACACCCCCUUGAACUCGACAGCUCGCAGCGUUUUUUUGGAAACGCUUGACGAGAAAUCGCACGACGACAGCGAGGUGGGUAGCGUUUUCGAUCAAACGAUGAACACCACCACCUCCUCGAAUCGAAAGAGGAAAAUAGAAUCUCCCGAGUAUUUCUCCAACGUCAAGAGAAAGAGGGACAAGAGCUUCAGCGAGAAGAAAAAGCGGGUCUCGAACUUUUUCAAGACCCCAAUCAAUUACUUCUCGCAAAGGAGGCGUACGAUACAUUCUACCAGCUUCAACGGCAGCCUCAACGAGAGCGUUAUCUCUAGUUCUGGCGUGUUCAACGUGGACACCGUCCAGGAUCUCAGCAACACCGUCGAAAGGCCCGAGACUCCGGUCUGCAAGAAGUCGAAGAAGAACCUGCUGAGACGGACGUUCAGCUCGAAAUUUUCGGCGAGCAAGAAGAGGUCGAAGAUGGACCUUGACACUUCCAAAUUGUCGUUGAUAGAAGGGGGUCGAGAAGCGGACGAGGUCGACAAGUUCAAUACUUCCUGUUUUCCGGCCAUUGGCCGAGUUCCUGCCAUCCCAAGCCUAGCACCCGAUCAAACCGAGCCUAGCAAUGAGUUGACCAGGGAGUUAAGGGGGCUCUCCGUAACAUCAGCUGCGGUUGUGGAUGAGUCUUCAGUAGGGGAGAAGCCAGACGCUAAUGUGAAGACAUGGGUGGUGAAAGCAGAGUGGUUUUGGAUGUCUGUGCAGAAGCAAAUCACACAGUGCGAGAAGGAUUACUUGUUUGAUGAUUACAUCGAACAGGUGCUUUCCCCUAACGGAAGGAGGGACUCCCAUCAGGCAACGCCAAGCAGCGCCAGCAGGAGGAAGCGCAAAAGGAUCCACGAAACCAUCCAGUCACUUGUCAAUCAGCAUUCGCCCACAUUGCAUAAGCGUCGGUCGUCUGUCAGCGAUGCAGGUCUUCUAUCCGUGUCGGGCUCAUUUUUAGAUUGUACGGCCAGUCCGGACAAGGCCCUUUUGGACGGUGCCGAAGUAGCCGACACCCCCCGAAAGGGCAAAACUGCUCGGCAUCAGGUGUUCCUCGAACUGUUGCAGACAGAGUCGAACUACGUUAGCAUUCUCGAAACCAUAAUGACGAUGUUCAAAAAGCAUCUUGAGGAAAUGCCGGAGGAGGAAGCACUUCUCAACAAUACGGAACUGAAUCUGAUUUUCGGCAAAAUCCCUCCAAUCUACGAUGUGCACGUCAAGAUGCUCGGCGAACUGAAAAAGACUGCCGCGCAGUGGACUGAAGACCGAUGCAUCGGAAGUAUAAUCGUGAAGUACGCGAACGAACUGUUGAAGGCCUAUCCCCCUUUCAUCAACUAUUUUGAGGAAAUGAAGGAGGUGCUGAUACGGUGCGAUCAGAACAAACCCAGAUUCCAUGCUUUCCUGAAGGCCUGUCAGACACGGCCGGAAUGCGGCAGGCAGAGCCUCACGGAGUUGAUGAUCAGACCGGUACAGCGGCUGGGAAGUGUCAGUCUCCUGUUAAAUGAUAUUUUGAAAAAUACUCCAAAAACUAAUCCAGACAAUGCUGCCCUCGAUCAAGCUCAAGAAGUACUGAAAGAAAUUAUGACGCAUAUAAAUGAGGAUAAGAGAAAAACUGAAGGCCAAGUGACAUUGUUCAAUAUUUUCAACGAAAUCGAUAACUGUCCGCCUGACAUGGUGUCUUCCCACAGAAUUUUUAUUGCCAAGUCGGAAGUGAUACAGUUAAAUUCACCAGAUGUAUUGUCGAGUAAGGGCAAUAACUUGGUUCUUUUCCUCUUCUCCGAUCAAUUGGAAGUCUGCAAAAAAAAGUCUAAAGCCUUCAACAGCCUGAAAAGCCCAACCGGCGUCAGUACGUCUCAGGGCAAGACCAAUUGUAAGCCCUACAAGCACAUCAGGAUGAUGGCUUUGAACACAAUCAAGAAGGUCAUAGACAUAAAGGAGACUGAGGACUGCCAGAAAGUUUUCAGUCUGGUUUGUAGGCAUAAUGACGAGGUAAAGGAGAGGUUGUAUUGUUUUGCGAUGGCCGACGAAGAUGCAGACAAGGCUGACUUUCUGAAGACCCUCACCAAGCAAAUGGCGACGAAUUCAUGUACAGCUGAUGCGGAUAAGUUUAUGGCUUAUCUGGAGCCUCAACAGCUGGAAAUCGAUACCAGUGAUCUCAGUAAUGGAACGCUCUCUAAAGCCAUCAAGUUCGCGAGUCGAACGAAAAUGAAGGUCGGGAGGGCGUUUUCUUUCAACAAAACGCCCUCCAAACUGAAAAGGGCCGUGUCUUCCAUGAUGUCGCCCUUCGGCAGCUCUACAAACCUCACCCCGGCCAACCAGCUAGCACAGAUGAAGUUGGCCAGUUAUAGUAAUAUCAAUGUAAGUAUGUUCAGAAUGUGGCGGAGUUUCAAAUUGUGAUCAUACCCCUUUUUUGUGCCGAGGUUCGUUUGACGCCAGAGUAGUCAGUUGGUACGUCAGUUUAUUUUGAAGGAAAUAGGAAAUGGUGAAAAUGAACCUGAAAAUCCGCCACAAGCCCCUUUAUCGGUACAACCCACUCGUAAAAUGAAAUCAUCGUCGUUAAGCGUAAAUGCAAUGAAAAGAUUAUAACAGUUAGUGCUUCAGAUAUCACUUUUUUAAGUUUUAUCUCUGUCGAAUAUUUGUAUAUAGACAUAAUAGAUCAAAAUAAUAAUUAAGGAUUAGAUUAACUAAAUUCUAUUAUUUAUGUUUUAAAAUCAAUAUUUUAAUUGUGAUUGGAAAGUAAUUCAAGCAAUUUUUAAAACACUGUAAUAUAUUUAUUCUACCCAGAUUAUAAACUGUACAAAUUGUAGUUUUAUACCAUGUUAAAUACACCUUAUAGGUGACUUUUAAUUCAAUAUAUUUUAUGCUUCUGAAUUUACACUUA